rnacentral:rRNA from 1 species
GACGAACGCUGGCGGCGUGCUUAACACAUGCAAGUCGAACGGAAAGGCCCUGCUUUUGUGGGGUGCUCGAGUGGCGAACGGGUGAGUAACACGUGAGUAACCUGCCCUUGACUUUGGGAUAACUUCAGGAAACUGGGGCUAAUACCGGAUAGGAGCUCCUGCUGCAUGGUGGGGGUUGGAAAGUUUCGGCGGUUGGGGAUGGACUCGCGGCUUAUCAGCUUGUUGGUGGGGUAGUGGCUUACCAAGGCUUUGACGGGUAGCCGGCCUGAGAGGGUGAACGGCCACAUGGGGACUGAGAGACGGACCAGACUGCUACGGGAGGCAGCAGUGGGGAAUAUUGCACAAUGGGCGGAAGCCUGAUGCAGCAACGCCGCGUGCGGGAUGACGGCCUUCGGGUUGUAAACCGCUUUCGCCUGUGACGAAGCGUGAGUGACGGUAAUGGGUAAAGAAGCACCGGCUAACUACGUG